GUGGGGAAUAUUGGACAAUGGGCGAAAGCCUGAUCCAGCCAUGCCGCGUGUGUGAAGAAGGUCUUCGGAUUGUAAAGCACUUUAAGUUGGGAGGAAGGGCAGUAAGUUAAUACCUUGCUGUUUUGACGUUACCGACAGAAUAAGCACCGGCUAACUUCGUGCCAGCAGCCGCGGUAAUACGAAGGGUGCAAGCGUUAAUCGGAAUGACUGGGCGUAAAGCGCGCGUAGGUGGUUUUGUAAGUUGGAGGUGCAAUCACCGGGCUCAACCUGGGAACUGCCUCCAAAACUGCAUGACUAGAGUACGGUAGAGGGUAGUGGAAUUUCCUGUGUAGCGGUGAAAUGCGUAGAUAUAGGAAGGAACACCAGUGGCGAAGGCGACUACCUGGACUGAUACUGACACUGAGGUGCGAAAGCGUGGGGAGCAAACAGGAUUAGAAACCCUGGUAGUCC
rnacentral:rRNA from 1 species